UACGGGGGGAGCAAGCGUUGUUCGGAUUUACUGGGCGUAAAGGGCGCGUAGGCGGUCGUGACAAGUCACUUGUGAAAUCUCCGGGCUUAACUCGGAACGGUCAAGUGAUACUGUCGGACUAGAGUACAGAAGGGGCAACUGGAAUUCUCGGUGUAGCGGUGAAAUGCGUAGAUAUCAGGAGGAACACCAAUAGCGAAGGCAGCUCGCUGGGACGGUAUUGACGCUGAGGCGCGAAAGCGUGGGGAGCAAACAGG
rnacentral:rRNA from 1 species